rnacentral:rRNA from 1 species
CCUACGGGAGGCUGCAGUCGAGAAUCAUUCACAAUGGGGGAAACCCUGAUGGUGCGACGCCGCGUGGGGGAAUGAAGGUCUUCGGAUUGUAAACCCCUGUCAUGUGGGAGCAAAUUAAAAAGAUAGUACCACAAGAGGAAGAGACGGCUAACUCUGUGCCAGCAGCCGCGGUAAUACAGAGGUCUCAAGCGUUGUUCGGAAUCACUGGGCGUAAGGCGUGCGUAGGCUGUUUCGUAAGUCGUGUGUGAAAGGCGCGGGCUCAACCCGCGGACGGCACAUGAUACUGCGAGACUAGAGUAAUGGAGGGGGAACCGGAAUUCUCGGUGUAGCAGUGAAAUGCGUAGAUAUCGGGAGGAACACUCGUGGCGAAGGCGGGUUCCUGGACAUUAACUGACGCUGAGGCACGAAGGCCAGGGGAGCGAAAGGGAUUAGAUACCCGAGUAGUC